GACGAACGCUGGCGGCGUGCUUAACACAUGCAAGUCGAACGAAGUGGCGCACGGGUGAGUAACGCGUAAUCAACCUGCCCUUCAGAGGGGGACAACCGUUGGAAACGACUGCUACUACCGCAUACUGAAGGAGGGGAGUGCGUCGGAGAAGCUAGUGGGAGAGGUAAAGGCCCACCAAGGCGAGGCUAAGUAGCCGGCCUGAGAGGGUGAACGGCCACAGUGGGACUGAGACACGGCCCAGACUCCUACGGGAGGCAGCAGUGGGAAAUCUUCCGCAAGGGACGAAAGUCUGACUGAGCAACGCCGCGUGAGUGAUGACGGCCUUCGGGUUGUAAAGCUCUGUUAAUCGGGACGCGGUACCGGAAUAGAAAGCCACGGCUAACUACGUGCCAGCAGCCGCGGUAAUAC
rnacentral:rRNA from 1 species